rnacentral:tRNA from 3 species
GCCGGGGUGGCGGAACUGGUAGACGCGCCGGACUCAAAAUCCGGUUCUCGCAAGAGAGUGCGGGUUCGAGCCCCGCCCCCGGCACCA